UUUUACCUAGUUUAUUUAUAAAACACUCGUUUGUCAGGCGGGAGAAACCGUAAAACGUGGUUGAGU
rnacentral:tRNA from 1 species